CUACGGGGUGCUGCAGUGAGGAAUAUUGCACAAUGGGGGGAACCCUGAUGCAGCAACGCCGCGUGGAGGAUGACGCAUUUCGGUGUGUAAACUCCUUUUAUAUGUCAAGAGAAUGACGGUAGCAUAUGAAUAAGCACCGGCUAACUCCGUGCCAGCAGCCGCGGUAAUACGGAGGGUGCAAGCGUUACUCGGAAUCACUGGGCGUAAAGGACGCGUAGGCGGGUUGGAAAGUCAGGUGUGAAAUCCUACAGCUUAACUGUAGAACUGCACUUGAAACUUCUAAUCUAGAGUAUGGGAGGGGGAAAUGGAAUUAGUGGUGUAGGGGUAAAAUCCGUAGAUAUCACUAGGAAUACCUAAAGCGAAGGCGAUCUCCUGGAACAUUACUGACGCUAAGGCGUGAAAGCGUGGGGAGCAAACAGGAUUAGAUACCCCGGUAGUC
rnacentral:rRNA from 1 species